UUGGAGUAAUAUGGUUUUGAAUGAAAAUUCCCAAUUUCCCAAAUUGAAACAUUUUACUCAAAAAUUCCCAGAUUUUGGGAAAUUUCCCAGGAUAUAGAAG